ACGACGUUUGAUUGGCCAAGAGUUGGAGUUUGCAGCAUCGUUUAUAAUCUUUCGGAAAGUUCUCAAAGGAACCAAAAGUUGUUCCUAGGACAGAAUAUUCAGAGAGUGUUGGAUGAAACACAAGUCGGGACAAGCUGCUGAAUAAUUUGCACACGGGCAACCAAUCGGUUGGACUUCAUUACAAAGAAUUUUUCACAAAUUUGGCUUUCAGAAGAAAGAGUCAAUUUUUUCAUCGACCAGUCAAAAGUUCUGCUACAAAUCUCAUAAAAACUCGGGAAGCAAGAUGCACAGCAAACCAGUGCAAACUGAAGAGUGGCCGGUUCUAGCUAACACCCCCAGUGCAGUUGUUGGAAUUGGGUGUCGCACCACUGGAGGUGUCAACUCCCCCAAAGGAAGUCUGGGGUGUCUCGAUUCGGGGUAACGACAUAAUCAGCGAGGUUCCUCCAGAUAGAUGCCAAUAAGAAACAUUCCCUGACCCUGAUGAAUCUAACCACAGCAAGCUGGUGAAACACAAGGUGGCUUCAUCGACAGCAUUGACAAGCUUGACACCUUCUUCUCGAUUUCACCUGAGAAGCAAGUUCCCUUGUCAACUUUUACAUGGGCAUCGCACGCUCUGCUUUUGCCAACUGCAUACCCUUACGCCUUCGAUUUUCGUGGUCCCUCCUACGCAGUAUAGACACAGUCUAGUCUUCGUCCAUGACUGCCACGCACAAGCACUAGUGCGGUCAGAGUUGUCAAGAGAGGUUAUUUUAUGCAGAAAACUUAUUCUUGCCUACACCAGAAACGUCGACUGUGACAGUAUGGUACUCACGGCUGAUAUCAUCAUGCCGCGCGCAAACAAGUGGCAACCAGCCUUAGCAAAGACACUGCCAACGUCAAUCGUCUCAGACGUUUUUGAGAAGAGCAAUCUUCGUCAGACAUAUGGGGAUGAGAUGGAUGCCACUGAUAUCAAGCAGGUGUCCUUAAUGAUGUUGAGGGUGUCUGCGUCUCUUACAUCCGACACGCCCUUGAUACAGUACCACCUGAGGAAAGGGAACAAUCGGUUUCAAACCAUUGUCAAGAAUGCUAGCAGCAAAGUUGCCGAGUAUACAGAAGCUGCCAAGCACAAGAUCCGAGUCAUGGUGGUUCAGGCUGCAGAUUGGAGGACUGACUCGCUUCAUCGCUGAUUCAUUAAACGAUUUGGGAACUGAAGAGAAAAUGGAGAGUCUUCAUUGAUGUGAGUACCACCUUCCAGCAAACUCAGGAGAACCUCCAGGAGUUUCCAUUUAUCCAGUGCAAACAGGUGCACAUCGAGGAGGAUGUCAAAGAUUAAGCAUUUUUUCCCUGGUAGAUUCAAUGUUAUAGUCUGUAUCGAUACCCUAUAGGCAUAUACAGAUUUCAAGCGAAGCAUGGGGUUCAUGGCUGACCUAAUCACUGCAAAUAGGUUGAUGUUUAUCAUGGAGGGAACCAACACACACUACCUGACUGAUCUGUGGUUUGGGGCUCUUGAUGUCUGUUGGGUUGUUUGAUGACUUUCGUAAGGAACGCUGCUGGAUGUCUCUCCAAGCCUGGUUGGAAACCAUGGAGAAAGUUGGUCUCAGAGAAAUUUCAUCAGCAUCCUCGCCAAAUGAAUUCAUCCACUGUGUCCUUGUAGGAAGAAAGCCUUCAGUCUCACAGCAUCACCGAAUGAUCAUCCAGCAAGACAAGAUAGUGCAAGACAGCAAAACAGGUUCUCAUCAGAGUUCCUUCCUCACUGUCAUGGUGGGGUCCAGAUCAGCAACCUUUCCGAGGCCAACUCUCCGGGUCGUGUUCUCAGCGAGCAUACAGACAGCCCAACAGAGGUGAUGUACAUCUGCAACAAAGACGACUCCCGGCCGCAUGCGCUCUUAAAACUCUUUAAGGCAAUAUAAUCAAACUCUACAAUUGUAAAAUGAAUAUUGGUUGUCACAAAGGGAGGAAAUACGGAUUCAUCUCGUCCAAAUGGAUUCCUGGCUGUUGGCUAAACCAGGGCAGUAGGCAGAUUCCAGGCGUGCCCGUUUUUCUGUAGAUUUGAAUCCUCAAAACUCUCUAGCAGAAAAUGUCCAUGAAGUUUUGAAGCUGAUGGACGACUCUGAUCAUGAGGAACAAGAGCUUGUAAUCCGAUAGAAUCUGAGGUUUGUUCGACGGGUUAUGAAUCAAGACCUAGUGGGGCAAGACCACACAACCCAUGGAAUGGUGAUUGGAGCAGCAUUAGGAAGCAAAGCAGGCAAAGGGGGCUUCUGUUUGGGAGGUCCCAUCAGGAUAUGUUAAGAUUAAAGUCAAGACAGCCCCUUAAACUUCAAGACAAGGAAGAGACUGUCAGAGUUCUGGCCAUGAACAUCAGCUACACAUUGAUGAGUUCUUGUAGCAGUGGGCCAGCUUCUAUCUAGGAAGAUCUCCCGUAUAUCUGCGUUGCACAUCAGGACUGGGGAGCGACACAGCAAUUCUGGUACAAGAACACGCUGAAAUUCCACCGCUUGGCGGCACACAACUCCAAAUUAGCCAGUGGGGAGGCUCGUUGCCUUGACGCCGCAGACCUAGAAGCCAGGGUAAAAUCCAAGAUGGCAGAACUUCUCGGCGUGCCUGAGGAAUCCAUUGACGUCAUCCAGCCCAUGGUAAACUAUGGCGUAGACUCUCUGGUUGCCUUGAAAAUGGUAAACUGAGCGAUCAAUCAGUCGGGGAUGACCAUCUCCCAGUUGGAUAUCUUGGGUGGCAUAAACACUGCUGAUUUGCUGGACAAAGCAAUCCAAACCAAUCAAAUUGGGAAGUGAAUUUAAAAAUCAGUCCUUUACUUAGUCAGUAUUUUACAGUAUGUGUGGAGUACAGAGUUUCCUGUUGUAUCAUGGAGGAGAGCGCUGACUGUUUGGGGUACAGGUUUUCAGAGCAUUUUAGAAUUUUUUAUCUCUAUUUUUUUCCUGGACGUCGCGUUUCUCCGAGGAAGUGACUUUGUAUUCCUAAUCUGUAAAAUAUAAAACUUUUUCUUCAGCUAUGCAACUUGUUAUGUACUAGUCAAUCAGAAGUGGGUUCAUCCGGUAUUGGAAGCUUAAUUUCUGCACUGUGCAGAUCUUUAUAUUUUUGGCUCUAUACAUACAUACAUAAGCAUUAUUAUUUUUUUCUCACUCUACCAUAAAUGGGAUGUUUGAAAUCACUAAGCGAUUUAGGCAAGUGUGUAGACGCAUAUACGUAGGAAGAGACGUAACGGAGUAGCCAGUAAUGCUGGGAGUUGGAAAUGUUUUCCCGACUACAAUUGUUCGUUAUUUAUGCUUAUGUGUACAUAAUAUUGUUGUUGUACUAUCGGAUGGUAGAAUAAGUCUAGCAUGAACAAUCCAGUUACCUGCUCUUAAUACAAACACAGCUCAGCCAUGGCAAUACAAAAAUAGGAACAUUUCAAUAAUUCAGUGGUAAACUUCUUCAUAAAAAUAAUAUAAAAAGGGCAAAUUUUUCAUUGGAAGUAGGGCGAGAAAUUAUUUUCAAAAAUGUAAUUUUCAAUUUUUGCUCUACGUGUACAUGUUUUUGCAUCAGACAUGAUUUGGUGUUGAAAAACUAACUCGAAACUCCUAAACAUUUUUCUAAUUACUGAGAAAGAUAAAACAGCAAUUUAAAAUUCUUGACAACGAAUGAUAAAACUGGUGAAUGGGUUCUUUCGCCCGAAUACACGAUACUGAUCAAAGACAUCAUAAAGUUUGAGUUUGAAUAUAUAGUCUAAACGAGGCUGGGGUCAUUUUGUAUCAUAAUUUACAGUUGCCAAGAUACAUCAACAGUCGUAAUUUCGAUGAGCGUGUGGAAUCACCGCCAGUGAUCCGGAAAGGAAUUAAUUUUCGGCCGCCCAUUUAGGAAAUAACUUUAAUUUGCCAAAAACCUAUUUGACUCACAUCACGAACCCAGGUACUUCCACUGCAACGUAAAGUGGUCAAAGGAAGUUGACAUAAUCUUGAACUGGUAGAGUGGAGCACACCCUUCGCAACCGUUUUUUUUUCCGUAUAGCAUAUCAGUCACCACAUCCACUUUGUUUGCAUUCACCAGUGAAUACGGUACUACAGUAGAGUAGAGGUCUCAAUUGAGGAAAUAUGGUUUCCGGGAAUAGAUAAAAUUGAAAUCCUGCUUCACUAAUUUUCGAGUGGUUGUCACUGUGAGCCAGAGAGAAAAAUCAUUCAAAAAGGUGGAGAGUAGCCUUUAUGAUUAUGGCUCAUCAAAGAAAGAUGUUUCACUGUUUCGACAGUAAGAUUUUAAAAGACGGUUAUUAGAAGCCUCGUUCUUUUUGAAAGGUUUUGAAUAAAGUGUGAAUCAAAAAAUCCUUUGAAAGGCAGAUUUCGGAGGCAAAAGUGGCAGUUUUAGGCGUCAGUAGAAAUGGUGAAAUUGUAAAGUGAAAAUUGUAAGGACGGCCGUGUCCGAAUUGCUUGAUUGCGGCUUUAAAUCAUACGUUGCAGUUUGGGAAGAGGCACAAGCCAGCACCAAAGAAUUGUGCGUAUUCAAUUUCAAGUCGCAGUCAAGCACCUCUGACCUGCGUGGUAUCAAUACUUACUUCCAUCAUGUUCCAGGAACGCGUACAGUUCCUGAUUCAGUCUGCAUUUUAAAGGAUCAGUUCUAAUUAAGCUUUGAAUUUGGACUUCAACUAGGUUCCGGGUUGUUGUUCGGUGGCGAAUCAACAUGACCACUGUUAACUUUUGUCAAAAUGGAGUACGCCUAAUAAAAAUUUUAAAACAAAGUUCACAUCUUGAUUUUCUAGGUUACCGAGAAGUUAAUUCCUCA